UGGGUCUAUAGCUCAGUUGGUUAGAGCGCACGCCUGAUAAGCGUGAGGUCGGUGGUUCGAGUCCACUUAGACCCAU
rnacentral:tRNA from 1 species